rnacentral:rRNA from 1 species
GCGACGAUGCGUAGCCGACUGAGAGGUGAUCGGCCACAUUGGGACUGAGACACGGCCCAGACUCUACGGAGGCAGCAGUGGGAAUAUUGCGCAAUGGGGAAACCCUGACGCAGCAACGCCGCGUGGGUGAUGAAGGUUUUCGGGUUGUAAAGCCCUGUUCUAUGGGACGAUAAUGACGGUACCAUAGGAGAAAGCCACGGCUAACUACGUGCCAGCAGCCGCGGUAAUACGUAGGUGGCAAGCGUUGUCCGGAAUUACUGGGCGUAAAGAGUGCGUAGGCGGAUGAUUAAGUGAGAUGUGAAAUACCCGAGCUCAACUUGGGUGCUGCAUUUCAAACUGGUCGUCUAGAGUGCAGGAGAGGAAAGUGGAAUUCCUAGUGUAGCGGUGAAAUGCGUAGAGAUUAGGAAGAACACCAGUGGCGAAGGCGACUUUCUGGACUGUAACUGACGCUGAGGCACGAAAGCGUGGGGAGCGAACAGGAUUAGAUACCCUGGUAGUCCACGCCGUAAACGAUGGGUACUAGGUGUCGGGGGUCGAACCUCGGUGCCGCAGUUAACGCAGU